CUACGGGUUGCAGCAGUGGGGAAUAUUGGACAAUGGGCGCAAGCCUGAUCCAGCAAUGCCGCGUGAGUGAAGACGGCCUUAGGGUCGUAAAACUCUUUCGCUAGGGAAGAUAAUGACUGUACCUAGUAAAGAAGUCCCGGCUAACUCCGUGCCAGCAGCCGCGGUAAUACGGAGGGGACUAGCGUUGUUCGGAAUUACUGGGCGUAAAGAGUUCGUAGGCGGACUGACAAGUUAGAGGUGAAAUCCCAGGGCUCAACCCUGGAACUGCCUUUAAAACUGUCAGUCUAGAGACCGGAAGAGGUUAGGGGAAUACCUAGUGUAGAGGUGAAAUUCGUAGAUAUUAGGUGGAACACCAGUGGCGAAGGCGCCUAACUGGUCCGGUACUGACGCUGAGGAACGAAAGCGUGGGGAGCAAACAGGAUUAGAUACCCGGGUAGUC
rnacentral:rRNA from 1 species